UACGUAGGGUGCAAGCGUUAAUCGGAAUACUGGGCGUAAAGCGUGCGCAGGCGGCUUUGCAAGACAGAUGUGAAAUCCCCGGGCUUAACCUGGGAACUGCAUUUGUGACUGCAUGGCUGGAGUGCGGCAGAGGGGGAUGGAAUUCCGCGUGUAGCAGUGAAAUGCGUAGAUAUGCGGAGGAACACCGAUGGCGAAGGCAAUCCCCUGGGCCUGCACUGACGCUCAUGCACGAAAGCGUGGGGAGCAAACAGG
rnacentral:rRNA from 1 species